UCUUUAAGUAGCCUUGGAGCAACCCAGUUCACUUCCAGCUCUGGUUUAAGAGAGGUCUCCAAAGAUUGAAUGAAAGCUUGGUUCUCAGCAGGUGGUGCUACUGAAAAUGGCUGGAGAUGAGGGUAAGGAUGCUAAUCCAUUUGUUGGAUGAGUUUUUAAGAGGUGGAGCCUGAUUGGAGGAGGUUAUGUCACUGGGUAGCAUGCCUUUGAAGCAUAUAUAGGUUAAAUCUUGGCUCAACAUCUCCCAUCCUGCUCCUGGACUCUAGCUGCCAUGAGGUGAGUAGUUUUGAUCCAUCUCAAAUAUGUUCUGCUAAAACGUAGGCCCAAAGAAUGGGGUCAAAUGGGAUGGGCAAACUCUGUGACUCUUCUUAAAUAUCACAUGAAAAAUAAACUACAAUAAAACCAGGUGAAACUUCAGGGUAGAGAAGCAGACAGAGAAUGCUGAACAAAUAUAAGAAUAAUCAGAAAACAAAGCAGUCAUGAUGGUGCCAACUUAGAAUCCCAGGUACUGGGAGGCUGAUUGCUUAGUGGCUCUAGAAGUUCUGGGUUUGGGUAACAUAUUAAGACUCAGUCUCAAAACAAAAA